CCUACGGGAGGCAGCGGUGGGGAAUAUUGGACAAUGGGGGGAACCCUGAUCCAGCCAUGCCGCGUGUGUGAAGAAGGCCCUCGGGUUGUAAAGCACUUUCAGUGAGGAAGAACGCCUGGUGGUUAAUACCCAUCAGGAAAGACAUCACUCACAGAAGAAGCACCGGCUAACUCCGUGCCAGCAGCCGCGGUAAUACGGAGGGUGCGAGCGUUAAUCGGAAUUACUGGGCGUAAAGCGCGCGUAGGUGGCUUGAUAAGCCGGUUGUGAAAGCCCCGGGCUCAACCUGGGAACGGCAUCCGGAACUGUCAAGCUAGAGUGCAGGAGAGGAAGGUAGAAUUCCCGGUGUAGCGGUGAAAUGCGUAGAGAUCGGGAGGAAUACCAGUGGCGAAGGCGGCCUUCUGGACUGACACUGACACUGAGGUGCGAAAGCGUGGGUAGCAAACAGGAUUAGAUACCCUUGUAGUC
rnacentral:rRNA from 1 species